rnacentral:rRNA from 1 species
CCUACGGGUGGCAGCAGUGGGGAAUAUUGGACAAUGGGGGGAACCCUGAUCCAGCCAUGCCGCGUGUGUGAAGAAGGCCCUCGGGUUGUAAAGCACUUUCAGUGAGGAAGAACGCCUGGUGGUUAAUACCCAUCAGGAAAGACAUCACUCACAGAAGAAGCACCGGCUAACUCCGUGCCAGCAGCCGCGGUAAUACGGAGGGUGCGAGCGUUAAUGGGAAUUACUGGGCGUAAAGCGCGCGUAGGUGGCUUGAUAAGCCGGUUGUGAAAGCCCCGGGCUCAACCUGGGAACGGCAUCCGGAACUGUCAAGCUAGAGUGCAGGAGAGGAAGGUAGAAUUCCCGGUGUAGCGGUGAAAUGCGUAGAGAUCGGGAGGAAUACCAGUGGCGAAGGCGGCCUUCUGGACUGACACUGACACUGAGGUGCGAAAGCGUGGGUAGCAAACAGGAUUAGAUACCCUAGUAGUC